rnacentral:rRNA from 1 species
AGAGUUCGAUCCUGGCUCAGGAUGAACGCUGGCGGCGUGCUUAACACAUGCAAGUCGAACGAGAAAUAAUAUUCGGAACUCUUCGGAGAACCCUUUUAUUUCGAGUGGCGGACGGGUGAGUAACGCGUGAGCAACCUGCCCUGUACCGGGGGAUACCAGUUGGAAACGACUGUUAAUACCGCAUAAGCGCACGAUAAGACAUCUUGUUGUGUGAAAAACUCCGGUGGUAUAGGAUGGGCUCGCGUAUGAUUAGCCAGUUGGCGGGGUAAAGGCCCACCAAAGCGACGAUCAUUAGCCGACCUGAGAGGGCGACCGGCCACAUUGGGACUGAGACACGGCCCAAACUCCUACGGGAGGCAGCAGUGGGGAAUAUUGCACAAUGGGCGAAAGCCUGAUGCAGCGACGCCGCGUGAGUGAGGAAGUAUUUCGGUAUGUAAAGCUCUAUCAGCAGGGAAGAAAGAAAUGACGGUACCUGAGUAAGAAGCUCCGGCUAAAUACGUGCCAGCAGCCGCGGUAAUACGUAUGGAGCAAGCGUUAUCCGGAUUUACUGGGUGUAAAGGGAGCGUAGGCGGCAGAGCAAGUCUGAUGUGAAAGCCCGGGGCUCAACCCCGGUAGUGCAUUGGAAACUGUUCAGCUUGAGUGUCGGAGGGGUAAGCGGAAUUCCUGGUGUAGCGGUGAAAUGCGUAGAUAUCAGGAAGAACACCGGAGGCGAAGGCGGCUUACUGGACGAUUACUGACGCUGAGGCUCGAAAGCGUGGGGAGCGAACAGGAUUAGAUACCCUGGUAGUCCACGCUGUAAACGAUGAAUACUAGGUGUCGGUACCCGAAGGGUAUCGGUGCCGUCGCAAACGCAUUAAGUAUUCCACCUGGGGAGUACGUUCGCAAGAAUGAAACUCAAAGGAAUUGACGGGGACCCGCACAAGCGGUGGAGCAUGUGGUUUAA